GCGGCCGCGGCGGGGCCUGGCGCGGGGCACCUGAGCGCGGCGCGGCGUGCCGAGGGCUCCCCUGCCAUCACGCGGCGCCGCCCGCCUCGCCCAUUGUUAAAGGGCCGAGCGGGGCGGCGUGUGUACAAAGCCGGGCAGCGGCCGCCCCGCCGCCAAUCGCCAGCCGCCUUACAGCGCGGCCCGCCCGCCAGCCGCCAAUCGGAGCGCGGCGCUCACAGGCGCACGGCGAGCCCCGCUGUCCGCGGCCACGCGCGGGAAGCCUUUGGGCCCGCGGAGCUGCCGUAGCCGCCCCUCGGUAAGGAGCCGGGGGAGGGGCGGAGGCGUUGCACGGGCCCGCCUCGGGGCGGCCUCAGUGGGAGCGGUUCCCGGCGGCGGGGCGAUCCGGGCGCUGGAGCGGGCGGUGCGCGCCUUUCCUGCGGGCCUGCCCACUGUGCGAACGCUCUGAGGGCGGUUGGGCGUUUCGAUUCCGCAGCUGUGGGUUUUUCGUCUUGUGACGUCGGGACGGCUGUGUGAAGGAGCUCGGGGCAGCGCGGGGCUCUGCUGAGCCUCGAGCGUGAGGUGUUUGGGAGAGCCAAAAAAAAAUCAUCCCAUUGAGAAACCUAGAGCACUUCUGUACAGCUACACUGUUAUCUGCAGGACUUACACAUUUCUGCACCUUAACUCUUGACCGGAAGAACUGAGUAUCUUCUUGGAGUCUCCAAAUUUUAUGAAUUAAAUGCUUUGGCUACACUUUAAACUUCAUAAUCUCAAAGCUCCACAGUGGGAGAAAAAAGCAUGUAGAUUUCAUCGGGAGAGUGAAUAUCCUUCAUGAAGAUCAUCUGGUGAUGGUGAGAGGAAAUCAUGCAGUCUUUCAAGAAGUAAAUAAGGCUUCAGGCUGGAAUCAACAUUCCACCAGAAUUAAAAUGUUACACUUAGAUCUCUGCAUGUUUAUCAUAAUCCAUGACAAGUUUCCUUGGAACAAAUACACUGGGAGAACUGAAGAAUUUUGUCUGCUUUAGAAAUAUAGAACAGUAGUUGUCUUGCAGCAAUAAAGCAGUUUCAAUCAAUAGGGAUUUAGCAAAUUUUUCUGCAUGUUUAGUUAACAGGAAGAAAAAGGUCAAGAUGCUUAAGGAAAACAUAGCAUGUACCUAAGUGAUUGAAGAGCAAUUGAGGUUUUUUUUUCUCUGAUAGUGAAAUACAAGAUGAAAUAGACUAUGAGAAGGGAAGUGCGAAGUGUCCUUGUGCUUGGUGCACUGAAAUCUUGGUGCACUGAAAGCUCCAUUUCUAGCCCAUUUCACAGGGUGCUCUUUUUAAUUGCUUUUUAUGACAGGAUGUUAAUGUUUCCAUAGUUAUUUUCUUCCAAUACUGGCUUUCAUCUUCUUUAGUAGCUUGAACUAAAUGUAGCUAUUUUAAACUCGUAGCUACAAUGCAAAGUAUCCUUCUAGGGCAAAAUCAUUCUUAAUACUUUGUUACAGUCUCUGUUCCCCUGCAAAUCCGAGCCCUAUGUGACAUAAUAAAUUGGACUGCUUCAGUUAAUCUUCAGAAUCUCAGCUGAAUAUACUCAAGGCAAAAUCUUCUUUGACCCCGGACAGCUUGGAGAGAGCCUCCUUCUCCCACUGCCACCUUGGCUUGCUCAGACUGGUGGGGAACAGUCCUCUCUUCUGACAACAAUUUUGUGGCAGAAACAAAGAUCAAAUGGCUUCACUAAUGAAUCUCUCCUGAUUAUUAUUAUUUUUUUCCAUCUCCAGAGCUAUUCAUUUGUAUUUUAGUAUUGAAUUGCCCACAUUAAAUCUUGCAAUGUAACCUUAGGUAGAAGACUUUCAC